UACGUAGGGUGCAAGCGUUAAUCGGAAUUACUGGGCGUAAGGCGUGCGCAGGCGGUUUUGUAAGUCUGUCGUGAAAUCCCCGGGCUCAACCUGGGAAUUGCGAUGGAGACUGCAAGGCUUGAAUCUGGCAGAGGGGGGUAGAAUUCCACGUGUAGCAGUGAAAUGCGUAGAGAUGUGGAGGAACACCGAUGGCGAAGGCAGCCCCCUGGGUCAAGAUUGACGCUCAUGCACGAAAGCGUGGGGAGCAAACAGG
rnacentral:rRNA from 1 species